CAGGGAUGCACCAAGAUGAAUAGGCCCAAAACAAUAGGCCCAUUUGUUAGAGCAGUAGCUUCUCUAAUACAUGAUGAGACAAUCAAGCCAAGCUGCCUUCGGCACAAAGACAUAAUUAAUCAAAUGGACAAAUGGUUCAAAAAUUGCUCUAGUAUAUUCUGUAGUGGACAGAGGUUUCCAUGGAAACAUUGGCGUUUGCAUCACAGUUAAUGACCAUUCUGUACAAUGAAGGCUCCCCCUUCACACACACUUCUUUACUCCCUCUCCACUACGCCUGCUCUCCCCACUGUUCCAACCAUUAAGAAACACAACCUGGAGAAAAACAAACAAAACAGGGAGAACGAAGAAGCAUAAAGGAGAACCCUGAGUACCCGAUUUUCCUAUCAGAAAAUCUAAUAGUUCUAUUUCAGGAUUUAUAAAAGAGCUGGAUACCUUUGUAGUGUCCCUUGAAGACAUGUUCUUUUCCUGAUAUUUAAGUUUUUAUUUUUAAAAGCCUAUGACAAUGGAAUCCUUUGCUGGUGAGAAGCAUGAAGAGAGAAUUUCAAGGCUUUUGGAGUGAGGGUGGCCUAGGGGACAAGCACAGCAAGAGAGCUGGUGAUAUAUUUAAGACUUGAAAGGAGAAAGUAGUUUCCCAGGCCUGAAAAAUUGAAGAGCCCAGACCAAUAUACUGGAAGUGAUGUUUUUUAGAAUUUUCUAGAUAGAAGAUUUGUCUAUAAAAGAUCAUGAGCAGCAGAAGCGACAUCACUAUCUAAAACUAUAGGAUGGUAUCAGGUGUCAAGUUUACUCUUGACAAGAAAGUGUCUUUACUUAGACACCUGAAAGCAUUUGGAGUCAUCACAAUGAUGUGGAGACCCCUUGCUUUGGGCAUGCCUCCCUGUUCUAUUGAUGUGACACAAUUAUGUACUAAGAACACUGAAGAAUUGUGGAGAUUUGUUCUCAAUAGUCAAGUCCAUUUGUUCUCAAAUGCUCUGAUAUUUUGUCUUCAUAGAACAUUUCAUUUGUCUACAAAAAAGGGGAAAUAUCAGAUUGAAGCAAGAAAGUUCUGUCUGCUAAUAUUUAAAGAUGAUAUGAUAUUUGCAUGAAUCAUUGUUCUCUUCGUUAAUUAUUCUGUGAUGUCGAAACAAAUGGUGUGAUGCAUAAUGCUGUUACUUGGAUUAAGAGGCUAUGAUGCUAGUGCAAGAGUACUGCAGGGAAACNAAAAAGGGGAAAUAUCAGAUUGAAGCAAGAAAGUUCUGUCUGCUAAUAUUUAAAAGAUGAUAUGAUAUUUGCAUGAAUCAUUGUUCUCUUUGGUAAUUAUUCUGUGAUGUCAAAACAAAUGGUGUGAUGCAUAAUGCUUUUACUUGGAUUAAGAGGCUAUGAUGCUAGUGCAAGAGUAUUGCAGGGAAAAAAAAAAGAAAAUUCACAUUUCAGGUCAUGUUCCAUAUUUCUUCACUAACAAAAAAUUAUAAAUAUAACUUCAGAGGAAUUUUCCAAUAUAUUGAUAGUGCAAUAACACUAUAUAUUAUUACAAAUGGCUACCACCACAAAUAGAAAAGCAAUACCUUGCCUGGUAUUUGAGCAAAAGCACAGCAUCAAAUCUUGUCAUAUUGUAAAAUUAGUAAUUAAAAUUUUGGAAAUUUUGGAAAACAAAACUAAUUUUCCUGUGUUAUAUGUUACUGGAAAAAAGAAAUUAUAUUUUUAAAAGUAUUCCAUGGCUUCAAAUUUGAAGUCAUCAGUCAAAUAUUCUAUCAUUUACAAAAGAUGUGCAAGACACCUUUGGCAAUCAAAAGGAUCAACAUAGCUGCUGCUUAUCAAGACCUGUUGGUUUUAAAUAUGUGAUAUUCCAUAUAAAUUGAAUAUUUACAAAAGCUAAUUUUCAAUGAGUUGUUUGCAUUUUAGUUCACUACUACAUUACCACAGUUUUCAAAAUUAUUAUUUAUAAUUCAUGAACAAAAAACUCUAUUGACAUAAUUCCAGGUUUUUUUCCAAGGUAUAUUUUUUUUAAGUACAGAGCUUAAUUUCCCUAAAAACAGUCACAUAAGUAAUUAAAGUGGGACUAGCAUUUUAAUCCCUGUGGUCUGACCCCUUAACCACGGUAUAUGUUAUUUAUUCAAACUGAUUGUUUGGUAAACAGGCAGACUGUUAUACUUGGUAUUUCCGUUGGCUUACCUAUGGGGCAAGAAGAAACUAUUUAUCUUCAAAACACUAUCUGUCUUAAAGAUCUAGAUGCCAAAUCAGAAACAUGACUGAAUUGUUUUAGGCUAUUGGGAUGAUGAUUAGGAAGGUACUUUCAUGCAUUUCUGAGCUUAAAUUGAAAAAUAACAUUUUAUUUUUCAAUUACCAAAAGAAGGAAAUAAGGCAUAUUAAGAAAAACUGGAUUGUUGCUUCGAAAUGUGAUAUAAGAAUACUAUAACAGUUGCAACCAAUAUUUAAGUACUUACAGUGGGCUAGGCACUGUCUUAAAAGUCGUACUAAUUUUCCAUAUUAAUUUCUUACUAGUCUGUGAGAUAAGUGCAGUAUUAUACAGUUCCCAUGUGGAGAAACUGUGGUUUGGAAUGAAGGUGGUGCUAUGGUUUGAAUAUCUGUAAUACCUCAAAAUCAUAUGCUGUUGAUAUUUAAUGUCCAAUGUGAUGAUAUUAGGUGGGGCUUUGGGGAGAUGAUUAGGUUAUAUGGGCGGAGCCCUCAUGAGUGGGGUGAAUGUUCUUGUAAAAGAGAUCUCACAGAGCUCCCUAGCCCAUUUUACCAAGUGUGAAGACACAGAAAUAAGGUACUGUCUCUGAACCAGAAUGAGGGCCCUCAAACAUGGCCAUGCUGGUGUCUUGAUUAAGGACUUCCCAGCCUCCAGAACUGUGACAAAUCUCUAUUGUUCAUUAGCUAACUAGUCUGAGUAUUUUGUUAUAGCAGCCAGAAAAAAACUAAGAUGGGCGGCUCUCCUAGUAUCUAUUACCUAGUAAGUUACUGAGAUGGAAUUUAGUCAAUAGGUUUCAGAGCUUAUUUGAUUAAAGACCAUGCUUUCCCUACAGAAAAGGACAGAAGUAUCAUUUACUGUGCUAGAAUAUACAUGUGUAUAUGUAUUUAAUGAGCUAUUUCCUACUAUUACUCUAAAUAUUAUUUUGUAGCUGACAUGAAAAAAUUAGGUGCAUGAAAAAAUUAAAUAAUGUACUCAAUCUAAUCUAUAGAUCAGCUCUAUAAAAAGAAAACUGUAAAUUAUGCUCUCUACCAAUCCAAAAACCCUCCUCCAUUAAAACUCACUAAAUUCCUCAAACAUUAAUAUAGUACUUCUUAUAUGCCAUGGACUGUGUUGAACCAAUCUUUUAACAUCUUUCAGUCAGGAGUAUUUUUUUCAUUGUUUGAUGAACCAGACAUAAUUAUUACCUUCUUGGAACCUUGGUUUUCUACAGUUGCCAAAUUCUCACAAAGUUCUAUAAUUUUACCUUGACAUUUAUGGUGAUCAAAGAGAAGUGCCUGUUUGAUUAAAUAUAUUGCAAAUAAAAUAGGAAUAAGGGUUGCUAGUUUUUGAUAA
rnacentral:lncRNA from 1 species